rnacentral:rRNA from 1 species
GAUGAACGCUGGCGGCGUGCCUAAUACAUGCAAGUCGAGCGAACAGACGAGGAGCUUGCUCCUCUGACGUUAGCGGCGGACGGGUGAGUAACACGUGGAUAACCUACCUAUAAGACUGGGAUAACUUCGGGAAACCGGAGCUAAUACCGGAUAAUAUAUUGAACCGCAUGGUUCAAUAGUGAAAGACGGUUUUGCUGUCACUUAUAGAUGGAUCCGCGCCGCAUUAGCUAGUUGGUAAGGUAACGGCUUACCAAGGCAACGAUGCGUAGCCGACCUGAGAGGGUGAUCGGCCAUACUGGAACUGAGACACGGUCCAGACUCCUACGGGAGGCAGCAGUAGGGAAUCUUCCGCAAUGGGCGAAAGCCUGACGGAGCAACGCCGCGUGAGUGAUGAAGGUCUUCGGAACGUAAAACUCUGUUAUUAGGGAAGAACAAAUGUGUAAGUAACUAUGCACGUCUUGACGGUACCUAAUCAGAAAGCCACGGCUAACUACGUG